AUGCGUCUGAUUAGCUUGUUGGCGGGGUAACGGCCCACCAAGGCGACGAUCAGUAGGGGUUCUGAGAGGAAGGUCCCCCACAUUGGAACUGAGACACGGUCCAAACUCCUACGGGAGGCAGCAGUGAGGAAUAUUGGUCAAUGGACGAGAGUCUGAACCAGCCAAGUAGCGUGCAGGAUGACGGCCCUAUGGGUUGUAAACUGCUUUUAUAAGGGAAUAAAGUGAGUCUCGUGAGACUUUUUGCAUGUACCUUAUGAAUAAGGACCGGCUAAUUCCGUGCCAGCAGCCGCGGUAAUACGGAAGGUCCGGGCGUUAUCCGGAUUUAUUGGGUUUAAAGGGAGCGUAGGCCGGAGAUUAAGCGUGUUGUGAAAUGUAGACGCUCAACGUCUGCACUGCAGCGCGAACUGGUUUCCUUGAGUACGCACAAAGUGGGCGGAAUUCGUGGUGUAGCGGUGAAAUGCUUAGAUAUCACGAAGAACUCCGAUUGCGAAGGCAGCUCACUGGAGCGCAACUGACGCUGAAGCUCGAAAGUGCGGGUAUCGAACAGGAUUAGAUACCCUGGUAGUCCGCACGGUAAACGAUGGAUGCCCGCUGUUGGUCUGAAUAGGUCAGCGGCCAAGCGAAAGCAUUAAGCAUCCCACCUGGGGAGUA
rnacentral:rRNA from 1 species